AGAGUUUGAUCAUGGCUCAGAUUGAACGCUGGCGGCGUGCCUAACACAUGCAAGUCGAGCGGUAACAGGUGUAGCAAUACAUGCUGACGAGCGGCGAACGGGUGAGUAAUGCUUUGGAAUCUUCCCAGUAGUGGGGAAUAACCAGUCGAAAGAUUGGCUAAUACCGCAUACGUCUGUAAAGGGAAAGCGGGGGCUCGUAAGACCUCGCGCUAUUGGAUGAGCCAAAGUCGGAUUAGCUUGUUGGUGGGGUAAUGGCCUACCAAGGCGACAAUCCGUAGCUGGUCUGAGAGGACGACCAGCCACACCGGAACUGAGACACGGUCCGGACUCCUACGGGAGGCAGCAGUGGGGAAUAUUGGACAAUGGGGGAAACCCUGAUCCAGCGACGCCGCGUGUGUGAAGAAGGCCUGCGGGUUGUAAAGCACUUUUAGUGGGGACAAAAAGCUACGGACUAAUACUCUGUGGUCUUGAUUUAACCCAAAGAAAAAGCACCGGCUAACUCUGUGCCAGCAGCCGCGGUAAUACAGAGGGUGCGAGCGUUAAUCGGAAUUACUGGGCGUAAAGCGCGCGUAGACGGUUUUGUAAGUCAGAUGUGAAAUCCCUGGGCUCAACCUGGGAACUGCAUUUGAGACUGCAUGGCUAGAGUAUGGAAGAGGGAAGUGGAAUUUCCGGUGUAGCGGUGAAAUGCGUAGAUAUCGGAAGGAACACCAGUGGCGAAAGCGACUUCCUGGUCCAAUACUGACGUUCAUGUGCGAAAGCGUGGGGAGCAAACAGGAUUAGAUACCCUAGUAGUCC
rnacentral:rRNA from 1 species